UUUUCUUUCAUGAUUACCCCCAGAAGAGGAAGAGUGUUUUAAACGGCUCGAGAAUGUGGUCAGAGGGUCAUCAUCCAGAUGCCAAAUAUGCAAAGGUGAAGCUCAUCCGGCUGGUUGGGAUUAUGCUGCUGUUAUAUGUCAAACAGGAGCAUGCAGCAUAUAUCUCAGAAGUGGAAGCUGAGACUGUGGGGACAGGAAUCAUGGGGAGGAUGGUGAGUCCUUGAUUGAUAUGUUUGGCACAUUGAGGACCUUAACUCUUGAGGUAUUGACUGCUUCUGAUGACACAGUGACUACACAUGUCCCAGUUUGAAGGUGCCAGUAUUCCAAGAUGAAUCAUACCCUCAAGCAGGGCUCAGUUGAGCAAACUAUUUAGAAACUGCAUUUUAGUGAACUGCCAGCUGAUUUAACCAACUAGCGCCUAUCCUUGUAUUCACCAACACUAGAGCCUCCAGUUGAUCCUCCCAUUUCACCCAUGAAGUAUGUUGCAGAAACUAUGGUGAGUCAUCCAGGAAAACAAAGAAUGCUGAUAGUAGGUUUGCAGUUUCCUCUUGUUCUUGAGGCAAUU
rnacentral:lncRNA from 1 species